GCUUUCAACAUCCCCGUUCCAGUUCGAGCGGAUCGCGUGCCCGGCACGCUGGCUCGUCCGUGGAGCUGAAGGC
rnacentral:sRNA from 12 species